UACGUAGGUGGCAAGCGUUGUCCGGAAUUAUUGGGCGUAAAGCGCGCGCAGGUGGUUUCUUAAGUCUGAUGUGAAAGCCCACGGCUCAACCGUGGAGGGUCAUUGGAAACUGGGGAACUUGAGUGCAGGAGAGAAGAGUGGAAUUCCACGUGUAGCGGUGAAAUGCGUAGAGAUGUGGAGGAACACCAGUGGCGAAGGCGACGAUUUGGCCAGAAACUGACACUGAGGCGCGAAAGCGUGGGGAGCAAACAGG
rnacentral:rRNA from 1 species